GACGAACGCUGGCGGCGUGCUUAACACAUGCCAGUCGAACGGAAAGGCCCUGCUUUUGUGGGGUGCUCGAGUGGCGAACGGGUGAGUAACACGUGAGUAACCUGCCCUUGACUUUGGGAUAACUUCAGGAAACUGGGGCUAAUACCGGAUAGGAGCUCCUGCUGCAUGGUGGGGGUUGGAAAGUUUCGGCGGUUGGGGAUGGACUCGCGGCUUAUCAGCUUGUUGGUGGGGUAGUGGCUUACCAAGGCUUUGACGGGUAGCCGGCCUGAGAGGGUGGCCGGCCACAUUGGGACUGAGAUACGGCCCAGACUCCUACGGGAGGCAGCAGUGGGGAAUAUUGCACAAUGGGCGGAAGCCUGAUGCAGCAACGCCGCGUGCGGGAUGACGGCCUUCGGGUUGUAAACCGCUUUCGCCUGUGACGAAGCGUGAGUGACGGUAAUGGGUAAAGAAGCACCGGCUAACUACGUG
rnacentral:rRNA from 1 species